UGGGGAAUAUUGCACAAUGGAGGGAACUCUGAUGCAGCGACGCCGCGUGAGUGAUGAAGGAAUUCGUUUCGUAAAACUCUGUUCUAUGGGAAGAAAAGGACUGUACCAUAGGAGAAAGCUCCGGCUAAAUACGUGCCAGCAGCCGCGGUAAUACGUAUGGAGCGAGCGUUGUCCGGAAUUAUUGGGCGUAAAGGGUGCGCAGGCGGCUUUACAAGUUGGAUGUGAAAUAUUGUGGCUCAACCACAAACGUGCAUCCAAAACUGCAAAGCUUGAGUUAAGGAGAGGUAAGUAGAAUUCCUGGUGUAGCGGUGGAAUGCGUAGAUAUCAGGAGGAAUACCGGUGGCGGAGGCGACAUACUGGACUAAUACUGACGCUCAGGCACGAAAGCGUGGGGAGCAAACAGG
rnacentral:rRNA from 1 species